CCGUGUGGGGAUGAAGCGAUUCUGGCGGGCCGGGCUCCUUCAGCUCGCCGCCAUGAGGGCAAGGAGCGGCUCUGGCGGGCCGGGCUCCCUCGCUCUGAGGGCAAGGAGUGGCUCUGGCGGGCCGGGCUCCUUCAGCUCGCCGCCAUGAGGGCCCGGAGCGGCUCGGGUGAACCGAGCUCUCUCGCCAUGAGGCCUUCAGCCGAUGACCGAUGGCGGUGAUCCGCCCGAAGGAGCCCCCUGAGGUGCCCCGGCCCCGUCGUGUGUGGAACCCCGAGCUGUGCUGGGCUGGGACAGCCGGGGAGGCGCUCCGGGAGGGCGCUGGAGCCUGGGAGAGCAGAUGUGAAGGGAUAACCUGCCCGUGGGACACAGCGAAAGCUCUGGAGCCACGUGGGUGAGGUAAAUUGUUGGUGUGGGGCUUCCUGGAGCAGCAGGAGUGGUCAGAAGUAAAGCUGUCGAUGCUGCUUUGAAGAGCCUUGUUUGAAAGGUGAAGAUGGAAACCUGGAGCCCACAGUUUAAACGGGGCAGCUGGAGAAUUUGUUUUCAGAAUGUGGAUGUAGGAAUUGGAAACAUCAAAGGUGGUUGGGGGCAAGGUAUAACAAGAAUUCUGUGUACAAUUUAUUGUUAAUCUCCUCUCAUUGCUUGUUGGAAAUACAUUUUUACAUGACCUCAAUUAAAUGUAUUUAUAUUUAAGCUUG